CCCGGGAAGAGUUCUCUUUUCUUCUUAACAGCCUAUCACCCUGAAAUCGGUUUGUCCGGAGCUAGGGUUUAAUGGUUGGUAGAGCCUGACACCUUUGUCAGGUCCGGUGCGCUCUCGACGUCCCUUGAAAAUCCGAGGGAAGAAAUAGCUUUCAAGCCAGGUCGUACUCAUAACCGCAGCAGGUCUCCAAGGUGAACAGCCUCUAGUUGAUAGAACAAUGUAGGUAAGGGAAGUCGGC
rnacentral:rRNA from 11 species